rnacentral:rRNA from 1 species
UACGAAGGGGGCUAGCGUUGUUCGGAAUUACUGGGCGUAAAGCGCACGUAGGCGGAUUAGUAAGUCAGGGGUGAAAUCCCGGGGCUCAACCUCGGAACUGCCUUUGAUACUGCUGAUCUCGAGUCCGGAAGAGGUGAGUGGAAUUCCUAGUGUAGAGGUGAAAUUCGUAGAUAUUAGGAAGAACACCAGUGGCGAAGGCGGCUCACUGGUCCGGUACUGACGCUGAGGGGCGAAAGCGUGGGGGGCUAACAGG